GCUCAGGGGGCUCAGUAGGAAGAGCAUGUGACUCUUGAUCUCAAGGUUGUGGGUUCAAGCCCUGUGUUGGGUG
rnacentral:tRNA from 1 species